rnacentral:rRNA from 1 species
CCUACGGGGUGCAGCAGUGAGGAAUAUUGGUCAAUGGGCGAGAGCCUGAACCAGCCAAGUCGCGUGAGGGAGUACUGCCCUAUGGGUUGUAAACCUCUUUUGUCGGGGAGCAAAAGCCGGACGUGUCCGGCUGUGAGAGUACCCGAAGAAAAAGCAUCGACUGACUCCGUGCCAGCAGCCGCGGUAAUACGGAGGAUGCGGGCGUUAUCCGGAUUUAUGGGGUUUAAAGGGGGCGCAGGCGGAUUUUUAAGUCAGCGGUAAAAGCGUGGGGCUCAACCCCAUCCAGCCGUUGAAACUGGGGAUCUAGAGUGUGCGAGAGGUAUGCGGAAUGCGUGGUGUAGCGGUGAAAUGCAUAGAUAUCACGCAGAACCACGAUUGCGAAGGCAGCAUACCGGUGCACAACUGACGCUCAGGCACGAAAGCGUGGGUAUCGAACAGGAUUAGAUACCCGUGUAGUC